GUUUGAUCCUGGCUCACAUUGAACGCUGGCGGCAGGCCUAACACAUGCAAGUCGAGCGGUAGAGAGAAGCUUGCUUCUCUUGAGAGCGGCGGACGGGUGAGUAAUGCCUAGGAAUCUGCCCGGUAGUGGGGGAUAACGUUCGGAAACGGACGCUAAUACCGCAUACGUCCUACGGGAGAAAGCAGGGGACCUUCGGGCCUUGCGCUAUCAAAUGAGCCUAGGUCGGAUUAGCUAGUUGGUGGGGUAAUGGCUCACCAAGGCGACGAUCCGUAACUGGUCUGAAAGGAUGAUCAGUCACACUGGAACUGAGACACGGUCCAGACUCCUACGGGAGGCAGCAGUGGGGAAUAUUGGACAAUGGGCGAAAGCCUGAUCCAUCCAUGCCGCGUGUGUGAAGAAGGUCUUCUGAUUGUAGAGCACUUUUGGUUGGGAUGAGGGGCAUAAAAUUACUUCUUUGCUGUUUUGACGACACCGACCAAAGAACACCUGCUUCCUGUGUCCCAACGGCCGCAUCAAUACAGAGGGAGGUCGUUUGAAGGAAAAGUGGGGGUAAGGUCCCCCCGCGUGGGUUCAAUUAAACCGAUGGUCCCCCCCCUGGGCGCGGCCCCCGGCUCUUCUUUUUAGUUUUAAACCUUUGGGCGGGGUCCCCCGGGGGGGGAACUUUUUAGGGGUAUCUGGGCCCCCCUAAAUCCAGGGGGCCCCCCGGGGAGGGGAAAUCAUCUUUUAGGGGGGGGUACUACGGUGUUUUCUCAUGAUUGUUGGCCCCGCACUCUUACAUCACUCACUGUGUUAAUCCAGCGCGGGAGCCCGCUGUCCCCUCAGGGGUGUCCAUUCAUAGAUCUACUAGUGGCGCCGCUAACGAAUUAAUUCCACCCCCCCGCAAACUCGUCAGCAAGUUCAAUACUCAAAUGAACUCGACGGGGCGCCGCCCGAGUAGUCGCACCACAGCUUUUAUAUAACAAGCAACCGCGAGAACCCUCACCAGUAUAUGAAAUACGACGUAUCUCUCUUAGAUCAUGCGGCGGCCUGCGGAGAAAAAUGAAGAGAUGCGCUGCAUGCGGGCUACACUCCAGACGAGUUGUUUGUUUUAUGUCUUUCACACACGAUACUUGUCCUACAUACACAACUAUCACGGGCGCUAAAGUGAGUAGUAUGUACUCUCUACUAAG
rnacentral:rRNA from 1 species